GGCCACAGCCACGAGAUGGCAGAUCGAAAUAAGCAAGGGGGCCUUUCCCCAGGGAUGACGGAGUUGAUGGUAACCGCGGCUCCCUUCUGCAUUUGAGAGUCCAGGGCUGGAGAGACUGGAGCGACACCACCCAUUGGUCUGCUGGAGGCCACACACAGCAGCUGGUUCCUCAGGUCUCUCAGUGUGCGAAGAGCGUACACGAACGGAUGUACAAGUAACUCCUGAUGUGAAUAACUGCAAAUAACAUCCCAGCUGAGCCCCUGUGCAGAGUCUCUCAUCACCCGGGAGAAGUGCCCCACAUGAAGUAUCAUCCUGCUGCUGCUAAAGUUCCAUGGAGAAGCUUCUCCUCCGACCACAGGGCAAGUGACUGCAAGGAAUCAGCCCUGAGGCCAGGGUGAAGGGAUGCCUGGAGCUCCCCAGAGGGCUUGGCAGGCUUCAUAGAAGCUUCCACGGGUACUUUCGGAAGAGUGAGCAGGGAGCCGAGACCCCAGAGCUUGGAAGCGUGGCCCUUCCCUUUGGUUUACGCACGGUGGGGGGCGUCCACUGUUCCUGGAGUGGCCAGGACCCCCUCUUCUGGGGACUCUAGCCCCGUGGCCUGGUGGGGCUGGCAUGCCCAGGCCACACCUGCUUCUGCGGCCACUGACCCAGGCUAAGUUCCUGCUCACCUCAGAUGACACAGGCAUCGGGGCGGGGCCGUUCAGUUACCAAGCCCUCCGUGACAUUCUUCACCCCCUCCGCACCCCUUCUCUGGAAGUGGAGCUAGGCUCCGGAAGGCAGGUGCCCAGCGUCACGGAGAAGGGCUGAGAGAGGGUGGAGAGGACCAGCCCCUGGGAGCACCCCAGCUGAGUUCCUGCCCAUGGUCCCCCACCCAGGGGCACUGCUGUUCUUCUGGUGUUUUGGUGAUUCGGUUCUGUGAAGUAAAACGUGCCUCCCCCUGCC